rnacentral:misc_RNA from 1 species
UUAUUUUUAUAAAAAUAAUAUUUAUCUUGUAAAACUCAUAAAUUACAAAACCUGGUCUCAACAAGGAUAGAAAUUGUUUUAACCUUUGCUUGGUUGAAAUCUUUCAAUUCUUUAAGAGCCAAAUCUCUUAGCUUAUUCACCUCUUUCACUGGCCACUCCUUCCUUUCAUCAACCUUGCUCAAUAUUCCUUGUACCAUUCCUACAUACAAGCCAUACCUUCUCAAUUUUUCUAUCUCGUCUUCGCUUCCACCUCCUAAUAUUGCGCCACACGCACCCGCACACGCGUGUAAGGUACCUUCUUUUUUUCUACAUACAUUUUGAAGCCAUCCCACGUGGAAUAUUUCCUCCCCCUCCGAUUCCUCGUAUUGUGAUUCAUUAUAUUGCCCUUCGAUCACUCCUUGUGAACCCAUGGCACGUGAGAUCUCAAUGAUAGCACGCAAAACCCGAUUCGAAUUAUUUUCGGCAGCGUCGUCGUCCCGUGCCAGUAACUCAAACCCGUAUGGUAUUAUUCCAUCUGCUAUGAGAAGCUCGAUGUUAGGGCCAUAUAAAGUGGGCCUGGUUCUGGGCGUCGGCCUGGGCCUGUCUGUCAAAGGCAGGUUCUCAUGAGUGGAAGCAGAAGCA